UGAUUCAUACAUAGAUCGCUCUUCGUUUUCCAGCGAGUCGUCGACCCCUGACCACCUGGCAUCUGGGCGCCACUUUUUCCCCGUCGGACAACCCUUUGGUGGAAACCGCCACCGCACGCAGGUACCGAUGGACCAAAAUAGGCCCCCUGCGUUUUCACCACCCCCGGGGGCUGAGCGCGCCCUCGCGAGGGGGCGAAACGCGAACAGGUGUGACCUCGCUGAUGUGCCCCACUCCGCUCCUACAAGUCGGUCAACGCGCCAUCGAGUCUGAUGAUGUCGAAAAUCCACGAGCGGAAGAUUUAGAAAGAAGGGGUCGUGGGCGGACAUGCGAGGACAGCCACCGUGGACCGUGGAGCAGUGAGCGCGUACCACGCUGACAGAGGCGCCUGCGAUUCCAUUAACCCCAAGGACAUUCGCGGUUAACACUUCCUCAAACAUUACGAUCGACGGCGACUGUAUCUCUUUUCGCUACGUCCAAUGUACAGUUCUUGACAAAAUUAACGAUACGAAAUAGCAAAUUAGUUAAUUUAGAGUUUUGCCAAUUUUUAUUUUUGUUCCUGCCUCUUACAAUUUUUCCAAAUCAUACGAUUUUUUUGUAUAUUUAGAAAAUUCGAUCGUUAAUUGUGUGACAUACCGUACAUAACUUUUUGGAAUCGAAAUCGUUAACAUUUUGUCUAAAUUUAUCAAAAAUAACAACUGUCUCUAUUUACGUAAGAACUUUUAAACUGUGUACAUCUACAUAAGCAUAUUUAACGAUAAGGUCUAUUUUUUAAAUAAAUAUAUGAAAUAAGGUAUAAAAUUUCAGCGGGCCUAUGCCGUACUAUUAUAGAUAAGACACCUAUUGUGUAAAGUAUUUUUUAUAUUUUAUAAAAAUUUUCAAUGAUGUAAUAUUUUAAACGAAAAUGACUGUAGAUUUUUUUUUUAUAAUUUUAACUGAUCUCUAGACUUUAAUCAAAUGGUGACAUUAAUAUUAAGAAGAUUAACGCUCUCUUGUGAAGCAAAUCGGUAGUAUCACUUUUUUUUUUAAUAAGUACAUAAUUAGGGAUAGUGCUUUAUAAACGAAUAAUAUAAUUAUGUAAUAACUCUUCGUCGGUGCCAUCUAGAUUUUUUUUAACGUAGAUUAGCUUUUGCUUUCAUUUUAACGAUAGAGUGGUUUCUAGAUUAACCUAACCUAACCUAUGUUUAAUUUUUUUUCGUAAUUUUAUGUUUUUGUAGGCUGGUUAAGCUUUAAACUAGAUAAGUUUUAGUUUCUAAUUCCUAAAGGUUUAUGUAUUUUUUAAAACCUAGUUACGAAAUAAAUAUUUAAAUUUACCAAAA